GUGCCCGUGUGUAUGGUGGCCUUAGUCGAAACAUCAUGUGCAAAUACUGUGUAAGGAGACUUGGUUGUUUCAUUCAUCUUCAUCUCUUCGUGAGGAUAGGCCCUUGAGUAUUUAUGGGAAGUACGCUAUUGGUUAUGGGAGAUGCCAAAGAAGUGUGCUCUGCCUCUGAAUGAUCUCCAAUGGGUGGUGAGUAACCUGGUGGCAAACCAUACAUUGGAAACGUAAAUUGCGUGCCCACAGCGCUAUGUACGGGAGGGUGAGCAUUAUCCUCGGCCUUUGCAGACGAAGUCUCCCCUGUAGUCUUCAUGGCUUUCAAAGCCUCCAAAAUUUGACCGACUUGAUCCUUCAGUUGGCUAAUAUCGGCCUUUAUAGUUUCACGUUCCUCUUCCCAAUCUUCCAUAGCUUUGGAGUUUGCUCGAGUUCUAUAUGGAUGCCAUGGAAGUCUCGCC
rnacentral:lncRNA from 1 species